GACGAACGCUGGCGGCGUGCUUAGCACAUGCAAGUCGAACGGAAAGACCCCCAUCUUGGUGGUGUUGCUCGAGUGGCGAACGGGUGAGUAACAUGUGGGUGAAAUUCCCUGUAGGUCGGGAUAAACUUGUGAAACUGGGUCUAAUACCCGAUUGGAGCAUCGUGUAGUGUCUCAUGGAGGAUAGAUUAUUGUGUUGGUGCAGGAUGAGCGCGCGGCGUAUCAGGUUGUUGGUGUGGUAAUGGCCUACCAAGGCGUCGACUGGUAGUCGGCCUGUGAGGGUCGACGGUGAAAUUGAGACAGAGAUACGGCUCCGACUGGUACGGGAGGCAGCAGUGGUGGAUCUUGCAGCAUGGGCGCAAUGCUGACGCAGCGACUCCGUGUAGGAGAUGACGGGGUUGGGGUGGUCAACUCCUGUCGUUAGGGACGAUGAAACGAUUAUCGGGUGUGGUGACCGUACCCUGGAUAAGAAGCACCGGCUAACUACGUG
rnacentral:rRNA from 1 species